UACGUAGGGGGCAAGCGUUGUCCGGAAUUACUGGGCGUAAAGCGUGCGCAGGCGGUUUUGUAAGCCAGAUGUGAAAGCCCCGGGCUCAACCUGGGAACUGCAUUGGAAACUAACGGGCUCGAGUGUGGCAGAGGGGGGUGGAAUUCCACGUGUAGCAGUGAAAUGCGUAGAGAUGUGGAGGAACACCGAUGGCGAAGGCAGCCCCCUGGGCUAACACUGACGCUCAGGCACGAAAGCGUGGGGAGCAAACAGG
rnacentral:rRNA from 1 species